UCUGGAGAUCAUUGCAGCAGCUGCUCAUGUUCCCACAAUGAUUUACCAUUAAAAGGUUUGCAAUCAGUUUGUGUGGUUUUUUUGUUGGUUUUUGGUUUUUUUGGUUGAUUGGUUUUGUUUCUUUGUUUGCUUUUGUGGUUGUAAGAGUUGGUCUGAAGAACAGUAUUUGCCUCAACAUUGCCAUCAAGGACUCAAGAGAAAGAACUGUACAGAGACUUGGGGAGGAAAAGAACUGCGUGCCACCGGGACUCUCCAACCGGGGACUAUGGGUAACAAUAGCUGCUCUCCAGAAGAUGAAUUUCACCUGCUACCUCAGCCAAACUUGCCCCACCUCCUCCCUGUUACUAAGGCCAACAAAGAGGAGCAUGUGUGGAGGCUUGCAGAGGGUUUUGAGGUCACCCAGCAGACAAGUAAGAGACCCCUGAAUGUGAAGCGGUGCAGGCAAGUUCUGGCUCCUGGAAACACCGAAAUGCAAUCUGUGCGGGACUCCAUCAGCAACACUUCCACAUAGUACUUUCUCUCUCCCUUUGCCUUCUUUUACCUCCUCCUGCCCCAAGGCUAAAAAAACCCGAAUUUUUUACUGAGAUCAGUCCCUUAUAAGAAGAUUGCAUAUAGAUUAAGAAACAGGAUUUAUGGAGGACUCAAAUUUGUAGAAGAUUGAGGACUCAUUUAAGGGCAUUUGGAAACCUUUUAUGGAUUAUAUAUACAAACCAGAUGUUGCAUCUUAAAAAAACUUGUACUUCAUUGUUAUUUCCUACUUGACUAUGUGGUGGGAGAAAGACUACAUUUCACGGUAUUGUGAAUGAAGACAAUUUUCACACAAUAGAAUUCUUUUGCUUCCUUUCCUUUUCUCUGUUGGGGUGUGUGUUCUCAAUUACAGCUAUAGCACCUCUUAUGACAAAUAAAUUUAUUUUUUUUUUCACAAAGAAAACCAUUAUUCAAAAGCCCCGAAGAACAAUAAAGAAGAGCAGGAGCAGGAACACAAUGCCUUGGUUCUAAAAAAACAACCUCUUAUUUAAGUAGAAACCACAGAAGUAUUGAUAGAAACCAUGCUAACUCUCCUUUGGGAAUAAUUCAUCAUUUGGCUGAUAUGAAACAGGACUGAAGCUUGUGCCUUCUCUUUAUUGAAGUAAUUAGGGACCUUGCUAGGUCUUCACUUAAGUCAGAUGAAAAAUGACCUCUUUGUCAGAAUCACUUCUGUGAGCCUUAAUCUUUAUGAGGAUGCUCUCGACAUGGCUGCUUUACGUGGAUUCUAGGGUGUGUUUUCUCCAGUGACUCCUCUAUCCAUAACAAUUCUCUUGUGAUCUGCUUUGCGAACUUUUCUCUGAGAUCACACCCAGGGUCUGUGGGGACAUGGGUGGGAGAUCCCUUUGGGUUCCCACAUUAAGCUCAGACCCAUCAUGGGAAGAAGUUUUAAUUGCAAUGACCAUUUCUCCUUCAAAGGCCUUGCCACCCCUCCACUUUCCUUAAGGCAACUUGUAUAUCCCAGGGAGUUGACAGAAACCCUCAGACCCUUUGGAAGAGGCCAAAGACUGUGUCUUGGGAUGGUAGAAUUAAAGCAAACUUAAUUUGCUGCUCAGAUACAGUGCUUUGAAGAGAAAUUGUUCUUCAAAUUCUUGUUUUCUGUCUUCAUACUUGUAUUUCCUGCCACUAGGUUUGCUCCAGGAGUCUCAUUUCUGCUUUUUAACCUACCUGUGAUUUUUAUUUGGCAGCUUGCAUUUUUUGGAGUGCUGCCAUUUAUUGCUU